CCUACGGGUGGCAGCAGUGGGGAAUAUUGGGCAAUGGGCGCAAGCCUGACCCAGCAACGCCGCGUGAAGGAAGAAGGCUUUCGGGUUGUAAACUUCUUUUCUCAGGGACGAAGCAAGUGACGGUACCUGAGGAAUAAGCCACGGCUAACUACGUGCCAGCAGCCGCGGUAAUACGUAGGUGGCAAGCGUUAUCCGGAUUUACUGGGUGUAAAGGGCGUGUAGGCGGGAAAGCAAGUCAGAUGUGAAAACCAUGGGCUCAACCUGUGGCCUGCAUUUGAAACUGUUUUUCUUGAGAACUGGAGAGGCAGACGGAAUUCCUAGUGUAGCGGUGAAAUGCGUAGAUAUUAGGAGGAACACCAGUGGCGAAGGCGGUCUGCUGGACAGCAACGGACGCUGAGGCGCGAAAGCGUGGGGAGCAAACAGGAUUAGAUACCCCAGUAGUC
rnacentral:rRNA from 1 species